rnacentral:sRNA from 1 species
GUUUUCAUUGCUUUGUUUGACCUUAGUGUCAAAAAGGGGUUGGAACAAUGCGAUUGUUUGGGCGAAGGGAUUUACCGGUAAUAUCAACAGAAGAGGGACGAAGAGAUGAAGGGUAAAAUCUUCGCUUUCUAGGCUCAAUUGUGCCUCCUCUGUUUAAACUAUUUCGGCAGAACUUUCUAACCUGGAUUCUUCACAUCCUUGUAUAAGGCAGCCUCCCCCAGGUGCCAAUCUGCAGGAAAGUUGGUUCCUAACGCCCACAGGGAUCAUUCGUGGCCAGAGAAUUUGGAAGCUAUUCAACCUUGUUUCCUCCCUAGAUUAUACACACAAGAUUUUACACUGACUUGUUGUCCCUGACAGAUUCUUGCUUUUUUUGAACGUUAUACAGUAAUUAUGAUAAUUAAUUUGACCCCGGCGUUUGGCUCUCGCCGAGUGUCAAAAAGGGAAGGGAGAAAACCAAAUAAAAUAAAAACAUACAAGAGAGAAGAAAACCCAACGCCCAUUUCGCAUCCAACCCAAAAACAAACAAUAACAAUCAAAGGUAGUCGAACAUAAUGACUAGGCCAGGCCAAAAAG